AUCUUCCGCAAUGGACGAAAGUCUGACGGAGCAACGCCGCGUGAGUGAUGAAGGUCUUCGGAUCGUAAAACUCUGUUGUUAGGGAAGAACAAGUACUGUUAGAAUAUGGCGGUACCUUGACGGUACCUAACCAGACAGCCACGGCUAACAACGAGCCGGCAGCCGGAGUACUCCGUAGGUGGCAAGGGUUAUCCGGAAUGAUUUGGCGUAAAGACCGCGCCGGCGGUUUCUUAAGACUUAGGUGAAAACCCACGGCUCCACCGUGGAUGUUCUGAGGAAACUGGGAAGCUUGAGUGCAGAAGAGGAGAGUGGAAUUCCAUGUGUAGCGGUGAAAUGCGUAGGGAUAUGGAGGAACACCAGUGGCGAAGGCGACUCUCUGGUCUGCAACUGACGCUGAGGCGCGAAAGCGUGGGGGGCGACCA
rnacentral:rRNA from 1 species